GGGUUGUGAGGUUAAGCGACUAAGCGUACACGGUGGAUGCCCUGGCAGUCAGAGGCGAUGAAGGACGUGCUAAUCUGCGAAAAGCGUCGGUAAGGUGAUAUGAACCGUUACAGCCGGCGAUGUCCGAAUGGGGAAACCCAGUGCAAUUCGUUGCACUAUCGUUAACUGAAUACAUAGGUUAACGAGGCGAACCGGGGGAACUGAAACAUCUAAGUACCCCGAGGAAAAGAAAUCAACCGAGAUUCCCCCAGUAGCGGCGAGCGAACGGGGAGCAGCCCAGAGUCUGAAUCAGCUUGUGUGUUAGUGGAACGGUCUGGAAAGUCCGACGGUACAGGGUGAUAGUCCCGUACACCAAAAUGCACAGGUUGUGAACUCGAAGAGUAGGGCGGGACACGUGGUAUCCUGUCUGAAUAUGGGGGGACCAUCCUCCAAGGCUAAAUACU
rnacentral:rRNA from 1 species